rnacentral:tRNA from 1 species
AUAAAGGCUUGUAAUUCUUAG